AUGCUUUUCACCUAGCUUCUGGUUUUAUCCACUUAUGUACAAAUUUAGUGUGUAAUAAGAAGCAGAUAGAAUGUGUAUUUGAGAGGCUGGUAUCAGACACUGAACAGCUUUGUUUAAAGGGAUAAAUUAUGAAUGUUUCAAUAAUUAGGGCAAGAAGGACAUUCAACAAAUUUUGAAAUUAAGGUGAGCAAUGGGACCUGGAUGUUACAUUAUCUUAGCCACAGAUCGAAACCUAAAUAUUAGAGGAAGUCACUGAACCUCUGUCUUGCCUCCAUUUUCCAUUCUGUGAAAUGGUCAAAUACUCCACAUGACUUAGUUAUUGUUACUAAAGUAUUCUGAGAUCUUUGAAUUGAAAGCUACUAUGUAAAUAUAUGUUAUUUACGUACAUGGCGUUAAUUACUUGGACAAGUUAGAUAUCUUCAAGUCACCAGGGCCUGAUGAAAUGCAUCUUAGAAUACUCAAGGAGCUGACUGAGAGAUAUCUGAGCUAUUAGCUGUUCUCUUUGAAAAGUCAUGGAAGAUGGGAGAGAUUCCAGAAGACUGGAAAAGGCGAAUAUAAUGCCCAUCUAUAAAAAAGGUAAAUAAGGGCAAACCAGGGAAGCUUACCAGUCAGCUUAACUUCUGUACCAGGAAAGAUAAUGGAGCAAAUAAUUAAGGAAUCAGUUUGCAGACAUCUGGAAGACAAGGUGAUACAUAACAGCAUGGAUUUGUAAUGAGCAAAUCAUGUCAAAGCAACCUGACAGCUUUCAUUGACAGGAUAUCCAGCCUUCUGGUUAAGAGGGAAGUGGUAGAUAUAUACCUAGACUUUAGUAAAGCAUUUGAUACAGUCUUGCAUGACUGUCUCAUUAAUAAACUAGGGAAAUACAACCUGUAUGGGGCUACUAUAAAUUGGGUGUAUAACUGGUUAGAUAAUUGUUCCCAGAGAGUAAUUAUCAAUGGUUCACAUUCAUACUGGAAUGGCAUUAGUGGGGCUCCACAGGGAUCAGUUUUGGGACCAGUUCUGUUCAAUAUCUUCAUUAAUGAUCUAGAAUUCUAGAUAAUGGCCUAAAGACUACAUUCAAAUCUAGAGUUUGUAGAUGCAACCCUUCCCAGUUUGGUAUCAAGUGCUUUGGAGGACAGGAUUAUAAUUCAAAAUGUUGUGGAUAAACUGGAGAAAUGGUAUGUAGAAAAUAGGAUGAAAUUUAAUAAGGACAAAUGCAAAGUUUCCAUUUAAGGAAGAAACAAUUAGUUGCACAACAUAUAAAAUAGGAAAUGGACUGUCUAGGAUGGAGUAUUAUGGAAAGGGCUCUAAGACUCUCAUAGUGGAAUAACAAGGUAAAUAUGAAUCAACAGUGAAAUACUUUUGCAAAAAAAAA